rnacentral:misc_RNA from 1 species
GUCGUUAGACGAGUCGUUAUCUCACCCGUAAGGGAGGGAGGCGCCUAAGGCAGGGCUGGUGACUGGGGUGAAGUCGUAACAAGGUAGCCGUACCGGAAGGUGCGGCUGGAUCACCUCCUUAUAGGGAGACCUAUUUAAUUCUAGACUGAAACAAUACAGUAUUAAGUCAGAAUUAAGUCAUCCCAAGGUCGAACGAAGUUUAUUGGAAAGCUUUCAAACUAAGUCAGGUUCUGAAUUCAGCCAAAUAGUAAGCUAAGAAAUUAGCAAACUAGAAAAGGGCUAUUAGCUCAGUUGGUUAGAGCGCACGGCUGAUAACCGUGAGGUCUCUGGUUCAAGUCCAGAAUGGCCCACUUGAGAAUUCCAAGCAAGCCCGAAAGGAAAUUCGCGGAAAACUCUGGGGAUAUAGCUCAGUUGGUAGAGCGCCUGCUUUGCACGCAGGAAGUCAGGAGUUCGAAUCUCCUUAUCUCCACCAAACUACUAACAAAGACCAACGAAAGCGAAGCAAGAGUUUAGCAACUUAUCUAGUUAGAUGAAGAAUCAGACACUAGAAAGCCUGCUAAAUUCUAGCGAAAGCGAGAAUUUAGAAAGAACCUUGAAAACUGCAUAGUAAUAGUAAUAAGAAGCAAGUAGAUCCAAAGUAAAAUCUCCUUAAGAGGAGACACAGAGUCAG